GCGGUUUUUAUGGAUGUUUUGUUUGUCCGUUUCUCCAUGCCCUCCACCGUCGGGUUUCUGGCGGUGGGGAGGAAUCAAAAACUAGUC
rnacentral:telomerase_RNA from 1 species